AACGAACGCUGGCGGCAUGCCUAACACAUGCAAGUCGAACGAGAUCUUCGGGUCUAGUGGCGCACGGGUGCGUAACGCGCGGGAAUCUGCCCUUUGGUUCGGAAUAACAGUUGGAAACGACUGCUAAUACCGGAUGAUGACGAAAGUCCAAAGAUUUAUCGCCAGAGGAUGAGCCCGCGUAGGAUUAGCUAGUUGGUGUGGUAAAGGCGCACCAAGGCGACGAUCCUUAGCUGGUCUGAGAGGAUGAUCAGCCACACUGGGACUGAGACACGGCCCAGACUCCUACGGGAGGCAGCAGUGGGGAAUAUUGGACAAUGGGCGAAAGCCUGAUCCAGCAAUGCCGCGUGAGUGACGAAGGCCUUAGGGUUGUAAAGCUCUUUUACCCGGGAUGAUAAUGACAGUACCGGGAGAAUAAGCUCCGGCUAACUCCGUGCCAGCCGCCGCAGUAA
rnacentral:rRNA from 1 species